rnacentral:rRNA from 1 species
GACGAACGCUGGCGGCGUGCCUAAUACAUGCAAGUUGAGCGCUGAAGGUUGGUACUUGUACCGACUGGAUGAGCAGCGAACGGGUGAGUAACGCGUGGGGAAUCUGCCUUUGAGCGGGGGACAACAUUUGGAAACGAAUGCUAAUACCGCAUAAAAACUUUAAACACAAGUUUUAAGUUUGAAAGAUGCAAUUGCAUCACUCAAAGAUGAUCCCGCGUUGUAUUAGCUAGUUGGUGAGGUAAAGGCUCACCAAGGCGAUGAUACAUAGCCGACCUGAGAGGGUGGUCGGCCACGUUGGGACUGAGACACGGCCCAAACUCCUACGGGAGGCAGCAGUAGGGAAUCUUCGGCAAUGGACGAAAGUCUGACCGAGCAACGCCGCGUGAGUGAAGAAGGUUUUCGGAUCGUAAAACUCUGUUGGUAGAGAAGAACGUUGGUGAGAGUGGAAAGCUCAUCAAGUGACGGUAACUACCCAGAAAGGGACGGCUAACUACGUG